rnacentral:rRNA from 1 species
AGUGAACGCUGGCGGUAGGCCUAACACAUGCAAGUCGAACGGCAGCACAGGAGAGCUUGCUCUCUGGGUGGCGAGUGGCGGACGGGUGAGGAAUACAUCGGAAUCUACUUUUUCGUGGGGGAUAACGUAGGGAAACUUACGCUAAUACCGCAUACGACCUACGGGUGAAAGCAGGGGAUCUUCGGACCUUGCGCGAUUGAAUGAGCCGAUGUCGGAUUAGCUAGUUGGCGGGGUAAAGGCCCACCAAGGCGACGAUCCGUAGCUGGUCUGAGAGGAGGAUCAGCCACACUGGAACGGGGACACGGUCCAGACUCCUACGGGAAGCAGCAGUGGGGAAUAUUGGACAAUGGGCGCAAGCCUGAUCCAGCCAUACCGCGUGGGUGAAGAAGGCCUUCGGGUUGUAAAGCCCUUUUGUUGGGAAAGAAAUCCAGCUGGUUAAUACCCGGUUGGGAUGACGGUACCCAAAGAAUAAGCACCGGCUAACUUCGUGCCAGCCGCCGCGGUAA